rnacentral:rRNA from 1 species
UGGGGAAUAUUGCACAAUGGGCGCAAGCCUGAUGCAGCCAUGCCGCGUGUGUGAAGAAGGCCUUCGGGUUGUAAAGCACUUUCAGCGGGGAGGAAGGCGAUAAGGUUAAUAACCUCAUCGAUUGACGUUACCCGCAGAAGAAGCACCGGCUAACUCCGUGCCAGCAGCCGCGGUAAUACGGAGGGUGCAAGCGUUAAUCGGAAUUACUGGGCGUAAAGCGCACGCAGGCGGUCUGUCAAGUCGGAGGUGAAAUCCCCGGGCUCAACCUGGGAACUGCAUUCGAAACUGGCAGGCUAGAGUCUUGUAGAGGGGGGUAGAAUUCCAGGUGUAGCGGUGAAAUGCGUAGAGAUCUGGAGGAAUACCGGUGGCGAAGGCGGCCCCCUGGACAAAGACUGACGCUCAGGUGUGAAAGCGUGGGGAGCAAACAGG